GCGUGGCUUCCGGAGCUAACGCGUUAAGUAGACCGCCUGGGGAGUACGGCCGCAAGGUUAAAACUCAAAUGAAUUGACGGGGGCCCGCACAAGCGGUGGAGCAUGUGGUUUAAUUCGAUGCAACGCGAAGAACCUUACCUGGUCUUGACAUCCACAGAAGAAUCCAGAGAUGGAUUGGUGCCUUCGGGAACUGUGAGACAGGUGCUGCAUGGCUGUCGUCAGCUCGUGUUGUGAAAUGUUGGGUUAAGUCCCGCAACGAGCGCAACCCUUAUCCUUUGUUGCCAGCGAUUAGG
rnacentral:rRNA from 1 species